rnacentral:rRNA from 1 species
GAUGAACGCUGGCGGCGUGCCUAAUACAUGCCAGUCGAGCGAACAGAUGAGGAGCUUGCUCCUCUGACGUUAGCGGCGGACGGGUGAGUAACACGUGGAUAACCUACCUAUAAGACUGGGAUAACUUCGGGAAACCGGAGCUAAUACCGGAUAAUAUAUUGAACCGCAUGGUUCAAUAGUGAAAGACGGUUUUGCUGUCACUUAUAGAUGGAUCCGCGCCGCAUUAGCUAGUUGGUAAGGUAACGGCUUACCAAGGCAACGAUGCGUAGCCGACCUGAGAGGGUGAUCGGCCACACUGGAACGGAGACACGGUCCAGACUCCUACGGGAGGCAGCAGUAGGGAAUCUUCCGCAAUGGGCGAAAGCUUGACGGAGCAACGCCGCGUGAGUGAUGAAGGUCUUCGGAUCGUAAAACUCUGUUAUUAGGGAAGAACAAAUGUGUAAGUAACUAUGCACGUCUUGACGGUACCUAAUCAGAAAGCCACGGCUAACUACGUG